AAGAUCGUGCUUCAUAGGAUCAUUUCUAUAGUACGAUCGCCGAGACGCAUCCGCGAUCUCGGAACACACUCGACCACGAUGAUGAGUUGAGGGUCUCCGCCUGAGCGUGAAGCCGGUACGGGCUCCUGGGUUUCGGCCCGGGUUCCUGCCAUUGAUGAAUGUUCCCUCGGCCCUUGCGGCUGAUGGGAGGGCGGAGACUCGGUCUGAGUGGC